UACGUAGGGGGCAAGCGUUGUCCGGAAUUACUGGGCGUAAAGAGCUCGUAGGUGGUUUGUCGCGUUGUCCGUGAAAACUCACAGCUUAACUGUGGGCGUGCGGGCGAUACGGGCAGACUGGAGUACUGCAGGGGAGACUGGAAUUCCUGGUGUAGCGGUGGAAUGCGCAGAUAUCAGGAGGAACACCGGUGGCGAAGGCGGGUCUCUGGGCCGAUACUGACGCUGAGGAGCGAAAGCGUGGGGAGCGAACAGG
rnacentral:rRNA from 1 species